rnacentral:rRNA from 1 species
CCUACGGGAGGCAGCAGUGGGGAAUCUUGCGCAAUGGGCGAAAGCCUGACGCAGCAACGCCGCGUGCGGGAAGAAGGCUUUCGGGCUGUAAACCGCUUUCAGCAGGAACGAAAGUGACGGUACCUGCAGAAGAAGGAGCGGCCAACUAUGUGCCAGCAGCCGCGGUGAUACAUAGGCUUCAAGCGUUGUCCGGAUUUAUUGGGCGUAAAGAGUUCGUAGGCGGUCGAGUAAGUCGGGUGUGAAAAUUCUGGGCUCGAACCCAGAGACGCCACCCGAUACUGCUUGACUUGAGUUCGAUAGGGGAGUGGGGAAUUCCUAGUGUAGCGGUGAAAUGCGCAGAUAUUAGGAGGAACACCGGUGGCGAAGGCGCCACUCUGGAUCGAUACUGACGCUGAGGAACGAAAGCAUGGGUAGCAAACAGGAUUAGAUACCCUGGUAGUCCAUGCCGUAAACGGUGGGCACUAGGUGUGGGUUUCUAUUAACGAAAUCCGCGCCGUCGCUAACGCAUUAAGUGCCCCGCCUGGGGAGUACGGUCGCAAGACUAAAACUCAAAUGAAUUGACGGCUGAGAGNGCGAGCGACACGAGGAGAG